GGACUGUAGCUCAGUGGUAGAGCAAUUGCCUAGCAUGCGUGAGGCACUGGGUUCGAUCCUCAGCAUCA
rnacentral:tRNA from 1 species